AGUGAACGCUGGCGGUAGGCCUAACACAUGCAAGUCGAACGGCAGCACAGAGGAGCUUGCUCCUUGGGUGGCGAGUGGCGGACGGGUGAGGAAUACAUCGGAAUCUACUCUGUCGUGGGGGAUAACGUAGGGAAACUUACGCUAAUACCGCAUACGACCUACGGGUGAAAGCAGGGGAUCUUCGGACCUUGCGCGAUUGAAUGAGCCGAUGUCGGAUUAGCUAGUUGGCGGGGUAAAGGCCCACCAAGGCGACGAUCCGUAGCUGGUCUGAGAGGAUGAUCAGCCACACUGGAACUGAGACACGGUCCAGACUCCUACGGGAGGCAGCAGUGGGGAAUAUUGUUCAAUGGGCGCUAGCCUGAUUUAACCCCCCUCGUUGGUGAAGUAGGACCUCUUAUUG
rnacentral:rRNA from 2 species